GGGGGAAUCACUAUAAGGACAGGGCUGGGAGGAAUCACUCUAAGGGCAGGGCUGGGGUGAAUCACCCUAAGGACAGGGCAGGGGUGAAUCACUCUAAGGACAGGGCAGGGGUGAAUAACUGUAAGGACAUGACUGUGGUGAAUCACUCUAACGACAGGGCUGGGGUAGAAUCACUCUAAGGACAGGGCUGGGGGUGAAUCACUCUAAGGACAGGGCUGGGGGUGAAUCACUCUAAGGACAGGGCUGGGGUGAAACACUCUAAGGACAGGGCUGGGGGGGAAUCACUCUAAGGACAGGGCUGGGGUGAAUCACUCUAAGGACAGGACUGGGGUGAAUCACUCUAAGGACAGGGCUGGGGGGAAUCACUAUAAGGACAGGGCUGGGGGGAUCACUCUAAGGACAGGGCUGGGGUGAAUCACUCUAAGGAAAGGGCUGGGAGUGAAUCACUCUAAGGACAGGGCUGGGGUGAAUCACUCUAAGGACAGGGCUGGGGUGAAUAACUGUAAGGACAGGACUGGGGUGAAUCACUCUAACGACAGGGCUGGGGGUGAAUAGCUCUAAGGACAGGGCUGGGGGUGAAUCACUCUAUGGACAGUGCUGGGGUGAAUCACUCUAAGGACAGGGCUGGGGUGAAUCACUCUAAGGACAGGGCUGGGGGGGAAUCACUCUAAGGACAGGGCUGGGGUGAAUCACUCUAAGGACAGGACUGGGGUGAAUCACUCUAAGGAAAGGGCUGGGAGUGAAUCACUCAAAGGACAGGGCUAGGGGUGAAUCACUCUAAGGACAGGGGCUGUGGUGAAUCACUCUAGGGACAGGGCUGGGGUGAAUCACUCUAAGGACAGGGCUGGGGGGGAAUCACUCUAAGGACAGGGCUGGGUGUUAAUCACUCUAAGGACAGGGCUGGGGGGAAUCACUAUAAGUACAGCGCUUUGGGAAUCACUUUAAGGACAGGGCUGGGGUGAAUCACUCUAAGGACAGGGCUGGGGUGAAUCACUCUAAGGACAGGGCUGGGGUGAAUCACUGUAAGGACAGGACUGGGGUGAAUCACUCUAACGACAGGGCUGGGGGUGAAUCACUCUAAGGACAGGGCUGGGGGUGAAUCACUCUAAGGACAGGGCUGGGGGUGAAUCACUCUAAGGACACGCAUGCGCGCACACACGCGCACACGCACACGCACACACACGCACACACACGCACACACACACACACACACAAACCACAAUAGUACAUUCUCUUUAUGUAAUCACUGUUCACUGCCAGGUGGUGUUGGUUACAGGAAAUACACACCUACGUACAGUACCUGCAGAACACGACCAGGACAAGAGAUAGGACACGACAAGGACAAGAGAUAGGACACGACCAGGACAAGAGACAGGACACGACCAGGACAAGAGAAUGGACACGACCAGGACAAGAGAUAGGACACGACCAGGACAAGAGACAGGACACGACCAGGACAAGAGAUAGGACACGACCAGGACAAGAGACAGGACACGAUCAGGACAAGAGACAGGACACGACCAGGACAACAGAUAGGACACGACCAGGACAAGAGAUAGGACACGACCAGGACAAGAGAUAGGACACGACCAGGACAAGAGAUAGGACACGAGCAGGACAAGAGAUAGGACAUGACCAGGACAAGGGAUAGGACACGACCAGGACAAGAGACAGGACACGACCAGGACAAGAGAUAGGACACGACCAGGACAAGAGAUAGGACAUGACCAGGACAAGAGACAGGACACGAUCAGGACAAGGGAUAGGACACGACCAGGACAAGAGACAGGACACGACCAGGACAAGAGAUAGGACACAGCUUUAGGUUUAUACAUCCUACGUACCUGCAGGAGACGACCAGGACAAGAGACGGGACACAGAUUUAGAUUUUAUGCAAAACAAUAAACAUAAAUAAAUAAAAAGUGUGCAUCCCAAAUGGGCCCUGGUCAAAGUAGUGCACUACAUACGGCUCUGGUCAAAGUAGUGCACUACCAUAGGGCCCUGGUCUAAAGUAGUACACUACCAUAGGGCCCUGGUCUAAAGUAGUACACUACCAUAGGGCCCUGGUCAAAGUAGUGCACUACCAUAGGGCCCUGGUCAAAGUAGUGCACUACCAUAUUGCCC
rnacentral:lncRNA from 1 species